GAUGAACGCUGGCGGCGUGCCUAAUACAUGCAAGUCGAGCGAACGGACGAGAAGCUUGCUUCUCUGAUGUUAGCAGCGGACGGGUGAGUAACACGUGGAUAACCUACCUAUAAGACUGGGAUAACUUCGGGAAACCGGAGCUAAUACCGGAUGAUAUUUUGAACCGCAUGGUUCAAAAGUGAAAGACGGUCUUGCUGUCACUUAUAGAUGGAUCCGCGCUGCAUUAGCUAGUUGGUAAGGUAACGGCUUACCAAGGCAACGAUGCAUAGCCGACCUGAGAGGGUGAUCGGCCACACUGGAACUGAGACACGGUCCAGACUCCUACGGGAGGCAGCAGUAGGGAAUCUUCCGCAAUGGGCGAAAGCCUGACGGAGCAACGCCGCGUGAGUGAUGAAGGUCUUCGGAUCGUAAAACUCUGUUAUUAGGGAAGAACAUAUGUGUAAGUAACUGUGCACAUCUUGACGGUACCUAAUCAGAAAGCCACGGCUAACUACGUG
rnacentral:rRNA from 1 species